rnacentral:rRNA from 1 species
AUUGAACGCUGGCGGAAUGCUUUACACAUGCAAGUCGAACGGCAGCACGGGGGCAACCCUGGUGGCGAGUGGCGAACGGGUGAGUAAUACAUCGGAACGUGCCCAGUCGUGGGGGAUAACGUAGCGAAAGUUACGCUAAUACCGCAUACGAUCUACGGAUGAAAGCGGGGGACCGUAAGGCCUCGCGCGAUUGGAGCGGCCGAUGUCAGAUUAGGUAGUUGGUGAGGGAAAGGCUCACCAAGCCGACGGUCUGUAGCUGGUCUGAGAGGACGACCAGCCACACUGGGACUGAGACACGGCCCAGACUCCUACGGGAGGCAGCAGUGGGGAAUUUUGGACAAUGGGCGCAAGCCUGAUCCAGCCAUUCCGCGUGCAGGACGAAGGCCUUCGGGUUGUAAACUGCUUUUGUACGGAACGAAAAGGCUCUGGUUAAUACCUGGGGCUCAUGACGGUACCGUAAGAAUAAGCACCGGCUAACUACGUGCCAGCCGCCGCGGUAA